rnacentral:lncRNA from 1 species
AUGCAAUGCAUUUUUCAGAAAGUUAAGAUUUUAGCCAUUUGGUACACUUGCCACCAUCUGGCAGCUGGAAGCAGGAUCAAUUCCAAAAUCCGGCCCAUGGCACGCCACAGGAAAACUAGAACCGCUCCUGGAUGCUGGGUUCAUAGUAUCCCUUACUUUGUACCAGCACUGAACACGUGCUCUCCAUGUGCCGCUACAUUUAGUCCACACCAACCCCUCCAGAUCCGAGGUCAGGGGGAUCAGGGUCUGCGUGUGUGUUGCCAGGAGGUGCUGAGAAGUUGGGGGAGUGACGUGUAAUCUUCUCCCCUUCCCUCAGUGGGGUAGGUAUGCCCAGAAAAGAAAGAAGUGACUUUCCUUCCACUGAUUGCCAUAUGGGCCACUUCCUGAACCUGAAAGAGAUGCCGUACCCCGAACACCAGGUCCUCAGCUCUAGCAAAUACAGGAGGGACAAGUUUCAGCCUCCGGCUGUCAGGGAGCAGCAAAUACAGAGGUGGGACCAGACCAGGCUCAUGGGAGUUUGUUCAUCAUUUCAUAGCCAUAUUAUGACCCAGUGUGAGAGGGCUGGAGAGUAAUUUCCAAGCCCUUAGGAAGUAGAUAGUCUAAGCCAUUGUUUUUGGGUUUUACGUGCUCUUGUGGUCAAUUCCUUUUUCUUCCUUUUUUUGAAAGGCAAACAAAUAGCCUAACAGCAAUAACAGUCAACAGGAUGGUGGCACAUCCGGGUUCAGACUCCAGCCUCCUCUUGCUGUAGUCAAAGUUAAUUAAUUCCCACUAUGCUUUGAACUAGGUUCCCUGCAGGUCUGUGCUGGGCCCUGCCCUGGCUGUCAGGGGAGGGCAUGGCUGGUUUGGCUCUCCGUGUGCUGUCCUGCGCAGGGGGAUGGAGAAGGGGGUAUGUUUCACCUUUGCAUGGGAUUGCCUCUCCUCUUCUC